rnacentral:rRNA from 1 species
UAAGGAAUAUUGGUCAAUGGACGAAAGUCUGAACCAGCUAUGCCGCGUGAAGGAUUAAGGUCCUGCUGGAUUGUAAACUUCUUUUAUNUGGGACGAAAAAAGAUCUUUCUAGAUCACUUGACGGUACCAAAUGAAUAAGCNCCGGCUAACUCCGUG